GGACAUGCUGCGGGGACGGUCUCCCGUCUAUAACUGUCCUCUGUGUCCUCCGGGCACACAGGGAACAGGAUUAAAGGUGCCAGAGAUGUGGGUCCCUACAGCGAUCUUGGACCUGCACAGAACACUGGAUCAUGCAACAAGCAGCCGGCAAAGCUCCAGGGAGGACGGAGUUGGAGUGUGCAGCCCUCGGCAGAACUUUGGAGGCCUGGGCAACACCAAGAACUAGAGAGGCUUGCAGCGCAGUUCUGGGCUCUGUGGCACGUGGCAUGGGAUCUGCAGCAAACUCAGUGAACGGCAGGCAGGACCUGGGCGAGCUGUUGAAAGUUGUCUUUGUUUACGGUCAUUCUCGGAUGCAAAGGCCCCAGAAGACUCUAAUCCUUGUGGAAGGAAAACGCGGCAUGAGGAGUCUAUUGUUGACCUUCCUGAAGUGGUUGCCCUCAAGAAGAAACACGAGGCAUCCUUGCAUCUGGCCGAGGCUCACGGCAUGGGGGCCCGGGCCCUGCAGCCGAGCUGCUGUGGAAUAGCUCAGCCUGGAUCCCGAGGCUGCGGAUGUUACGAUGGGAGCAUCCGCGAAGAGCUCUGGUGCUUCAGGAGGAUGCAUUGAAGGCAAGGAGGAGCGGACGGGCUCUCCGUGGACUCCUGUCAGUGCCACGCACGCCACCCCGCCGUCACCACCUGCAGUGCUGCGAUCCCUCGGUGGAGUGUGUCAUGGAGCGGGAUGGCGCAGCCCAGGUAAAGAGCGUGCGCAGCGGUUAGCGGAAAACACCCGCAUUUCGGAAGAGCCUGGGAGAGAUGCGCUUCCUCACCUGUGGCAACAAGGAUUUUCUGGCGCUCUGCGGGCUGCCGAAAUUGAUGCCUUUGGACCAGCUGCUGGAGCAGAACCUCGGUGUGGUUGGGGUGGGAUCUCCUGCCACCUCAGUGAUUGAGUCCAGAGCCAGGCUCGCCUGCAUGAACUCAUGCCAAAGAAAUAGUGCCUGCUGCUUUAAAGGACAGAUGAAGCUGGGGACCGAUUGCAGCUGGAGCAUUCCUGUCAUCUGUUGGUGCCUCUACUGGAGAGGCCCCUGGACUAGGCUACGCGUGAAGAAAUAGAAGACUGGGUCUUUCUUGCGCUCCCUUAGAGGAACUGUCCCUCACCCAGGACAGUGUGUGGCCUUUCUGAGCCAGUUCAAGGAACUGUGGCCAUCUCACGAAAAAGACAUUUCCUCCGCUACUGAAGGUGGCCCCCUCACUCCGAGCGGCGUUUUGCAAACUUUAGGGCAUGGGCAAGCGUAUGACGGAAGAACACUAUCAGCCUCCACGGGAAAGCACUCCAGGAGCCGAUGUGGGUCCAAAUAUACAGUUCAUAGCUGCUGAACAAAAGCCAGGUGGCUGAGAUGGAGCCAGCAGGAAGGCUGGGGCAGGCAGAGAUGGACAAGCAGCUGCCUUUGAGUUGCUGUGGCAGCAACAUAGCGGCCAGUGGUUUGGCAAAGAAGGUAACAUCAAGGCUUGGUCAAUGCAGCAGGGGCAAGAGUCCAAGCAGUGCUACCCCAACUUGACAAGAGAGGCAGAGAAACCCAAGAAUUCCAGCUCAUCUGUCUGGACACUCCACAGCCACCAAAGAGCCAGCACUAUCUCCCUGGAUCUGGGCACCUUCCAACCUUGAGAAGACUCAGGACGGCAGAAUGGUGUGCUGUGAGGAAGUCUGGAGGCAGCUAGCCUUGGAGUCUGCUCUGUGGCAGCUGCCCACUUCCUGGACCCAGGCUGGCCACAGGCUCUCCCAGGCAUCCUGCAGUCAGAAGGAGGAAGAGGAGAGAAAAGGGAUAAAGGAGAGAACAAAGCUGUCAACACUCUUGUUGGAGGGACUUGAAUUAACCACUCAGAAUUCUGGCAUGAAUGGAGAGGGCUGCUCCCACAGUAUAACUGCGCCAUGCCUUGCACCAACUCUCUGCAUCCUGAUUUUAGACAGGAGGACACACCAAUUUGAAGAAAUGAUGCUAUUUCCAGGGCUGAGAGCCCUGGAAGAAUCCAGACGGGUCUGUCUGCUGCAUUGUAGAGCUGUAAUGUAAUGUAAUGUAAUGUAAUGUAAUGUAAUGUAAUGUAAUGUAAUGUAAUGCAAUGCAAUGUA
rnacentral:lncRNA from 1 species